GUUAAUGCAUGAGUGACUGCCUGCAUUGUGUGUUCCCAGAGAGGUCAGAGUCUUGUUGGUGGCUUAAGAAAGAAAGAAAGAGAGAGAGGAAGAAAGAGAGCCAGCACAAAGCCCAGAAUUGGACAGCUGACAUCCAGGAGGAAGGCUGCGUAAGAUGGUCCCGAAUAGCUGUCUGGGAUGGUGACUCUCUGCUGCCUGGCACCUAGUAGGUGCUUAAUAAAUGUCUGAAAAGGCUCAGUCAUGUUUCCUGCCAAAGAGAAGACCAAAAGAGGGAGAUUUUGUAACCAACAAAUAAUUGACCUUUUGAUAUCAAAGGUGAUUUGCUCAUGAAGAAAAUAGCAGUGCUAAUUUCAAAAUGGUAACUACCUGGUUGGAAUUUGUAUCUUAGUAAAGCUUCAAACCAAUGCAUGGAUGACUUUUGAAAAGUGCAAACGGACUCUAAAAUUCUAUGAAGAGAAUGUUCGUAACAUUGCUCACUUGUAUUCUCACUUCCUCCCAUUUCACAGAUGAAGAAACUGAGAUCCGCAAUGACUGUAAAGUUUGGAAGUAGAGGUGCCAAGAUGUAAGCUCCGUCCUUGGUCUUUUGUUUGCCUUACUGAGCCCUAAGUUCAGGUCAUCAGCUCAGGCUGCAUGACUCCCCUGCAAGAUCAUGAGCUACUUAAAAGCAAGGACCACGACUUCUCUUUGGCAAGGCCAGUUUCUGGCCCAGUGCAAUGGCACAUAAUAGCCCUAAAUAAACAUUUAAAGAGUAACUGGACGAAUGAGAGAAAUAUCAAAAGCUGGGCAUAGCAGUCAGCUCAGUAUGGAUCCCAUGUGUGAGAUGGAGUCGGAGGGUCCUGAAGGUCUCAGGAGUCACAAGUUCAAGGGUAGCCUGGGCUAGGAAGUGAGCUCUAGGUCAGCCUGGGCAACUUAUUAAAACUUUCAAAAUUAAUAACGAAAAAGUUGUAAGAAUAUAGCUCAGUGCUAGAGUCCUUACCUAGCAGGUACUAGACCUUGGGAGCAAUCGGAAA